CGCCUACCUUCGAGAAUCUGUUAUGAUGAAGUGAUAGGUUUUGAAUUUUCUGAGGUACUAAACUGAGCAUCACUACAGAAAUGAAUGGAUAGUAUAGGUACAGAUAAAAUAAAGUUGUUAGUAUUUGAUCAAAUAUUAAUUUAAUUGUCAAGUUCAGUUGUUAUAAUUCAAAAUUCUAAAGAAACCUGACUUAAAAAAGGACAGUGGCUGAAAAAAGAAACUGUACUAUAAUAUUGCAGUAAUAGAAAUUGGCAAGAAAAACUCGUCACGCGAAAAUGAGAAUACGACUAAAACUAGAAUGAAUAUCAAUUACAAUAACAAUACACGCGCCGUACAACUAAUACUAUGUUUAAUGAUGCAUAGAAAUAUUCACAAAAAGAUGUUUAAUUUAAAUAAUUGAUUAAUUAUUUAUCAGCUGCGCUGAAGUCCAUUAAAUCAUGUCAACAAAAAUUAAAGUUUUUUAAAUUUAAAACAACGCGUUGUGACAAAUGAUUGACAUUUGACAGUAAUUAAAAUUUGUAUCAUGAAAUGUAUAACAAACAUUAUUAAAU